AGAGUUUGAUCCUGGCUCAGAACGAACGCUGGCGGCGUGCCUAACACAUGCAAGUCGAACGUGAUUAGAGAGCUUGCUCUCUAUGAAAGUGGCGCACGGGUGAGUAAUGCGUAGAUAAUCUGCCUGAUGAUUUGGGAUAACAUCUCGAAAGGGGUGCUAAUACCGAAUAAGCUCACGGAGUCCUCGGACUCUGCGGGAAAAGGGGGGGACCUUCGGGCCUUCUGUCAUCAGAUGAGUCUACGUACCAUUAGCUAGUUGGUGGGGUAAAGGCCUACCAAGGCUACGAUGGUUAGCUGGUCUGAGAGGAUGAUCAGCCACACUGGAACUGAGACACGGUCCAGACUCCUACGGGAGGCAGCAGUGGGGAAUUUUGCGCAAUGGGCGAAAGCCUGACGCAGCAACGCCGCGUGAGUGAUGAAGGCCUUCGGGUCGUAAAGCUCUGUCAGGGGGAAAGAAAUGUUUGGUGGCUAAUAUCCACUGGACUUGACGGUACCCCCAAAGGAAGCACCGGCUAACUCCGUGCCAGCAGCCGCGGUAAUACGGAGGGUGCGAGCGUUGUUCGGAAUUAUUGGGCGUAAAGCGCGUGUAGGCGGUUUGCUAAGUCUGAUGUGAAAGCCCCGGGCUCAACCUGGGAAGUGCAUUGGAUACUGGCAGACUUGAAUACGGGAGAGGGCAGUGGAAUUCCUAGUGUAGGAGUGAAAUCCGUAGAUAUUAGGAGGAACACCGGUGGCGAAGGCGGCUGCCUGGACCGAUAUUGACGCUGAGACGCGAAAGCGUGGGGAGCAAACAGGAUUAGAUACCCCGGUAGUCC
rnacentral:rRNA from 1 species